rnacentral:rRNA from 1 species
AGCGAACGCUGGCGGCAGGCUUAACACAUGCAAGUCGAACGGGCGUAGCAAUACGUCAGUGGCAGACGGGUGAGUAACGCGUGGGAACAUACCUCUUGGUUCGGAACAACACAGGGAAACUUGUGCUAAUACCGGAUAAGCCCUUACGGGGAAAGAUUUAUCGCCGAGAGAUUGGCCCGCGUCUGAUUAGCUAGUUGGUG